rnacentral:rRNA from 1 species
GACGUAGGGCGCGAGCGUUGUCCGGAUUUAUUGGGCGUAAAGAGCUCGUAGGCGGCUUGUCGCGUCGUCCGUGAAAACCAGGGGCUCAACCCCUGGCUUGCGGUCGAUACGGGCAGGCUAGAGUUCGGUAGGGGAGACUGGAAUUCCUGGUGUAGCGGUGAAAUGCGCAGAUAUCAGGAGGAACACCGGUGGCGAAGGCGGGUCUCUGGGCCGAUAUCGACGCUGAGGAGCGAAAGCGUGGGGAGCGAACGGG